ACUCCUACGGGAGGCAGCAGUGGGGAAUAUUGCACAAUGGGGAAACCCUGAUGCAGCCAUGCCGCGUGUGUGAAGAAGGCCUUCGGUUGUAAAGCACUUUCAGUAGGGAGGAAGGUAGUGUAGUUAACACCUGCACUAUUUGACGUUACCUACAGAAGAAGCACCGGCUAACUCCGUGCCAGCAGCCGCGGUAAUACGGAGGGGUGCGAGCGUUAAUCGGAAUUACUGGGCGUAAAGCGCAUGCAGGCGGCCUGUUAAGUCAGAUGUGAAAGCCCGGGGGCUUAACCUCGGAAUUGCAUUUGAAACUGGCAGGCUAGAGUCUGUAGAGGGGGUAGAAGUUUCAGGUGUAGCGGUGAAAUGCGUAGAGAUCUGAAGGAAUACCAGUGGCGAAGGCGGCCCCUGGACCAAAGACUGACGCUCAGAUGCGAAAGCGUGGGGAGCAAACGAGGAUUAGAUACCCUGGUAGACUGUCA
rnacentral:rRNA from 1 species